AAAUCGCGAGUAUUUUUGAACCAUCACAGCCUCCCCCCUAAACAAAAUUGGUCCUCUAAAUUGAACUUACCAGUGGUCACAGAUAGAUGUGGAUAUUUGGCAUUCAUAUCCACUCUACUACUAGUAAGGGCUGAAGUAGUCCUACUAGCCUUUGAGGUUCAGCCUUUACUUGUUGGCAGGUGAGACGUUUAGAAAUGAACUCUGUUAUAUCCUUCUUCAUCCCACUUCACUGGU
rnacentral:lncRNA from 1 species